GAUAUUUUGCUUGUUGUGGUUAAAAAGCUCGUAGUUGGAUCUCGGCGGUCUGAGGGCGGUUCGCUUGAUUGAGUGCUACUGCUCUAUAGGCCGUGGUUUUGCCAGAGGUCUCGGGGUGCUCUUAACCGAGUGUCCUGCGAUGCUGGCAGGUUUACUUUGAAAAAAUUAGAGUGCUCAAAGCAGGCUUUUACGCCUGAAUAUUCGUGCAUGGAAUAAUAGAAUAGGAAGUCGUUUCUAUUUUGUUGGUUUUCGGAAAUCGACUUAAUGAUUAAUAGGGACAGUCGGGGGCAUUUGUAUUCAAACGACAGAGGUGAAAUUCUUGGACCGUUUGAAGACAAACUACUGCGAAAGCAUUUGCCAAGAAUGUUUUCAUUAAUCAAGAACGAAAGUUAGAGGUUCGAAGGCGAUUAGAUACCGCCCUAGUUCUAACCAUAAACGAUGCCAGCUAGCGAUCUGCCGACGUUUUCUUUGUAGACUCGGCAGGAAGCUUCCGGGAAACCAAAGCAUUUGGGUUCCAGGGGAAGUAUGGUUGCAAAGCUGAAACUUAAAGGAAUUGACGGAAGGGCACCACCAGGAGUGGAGCCUGUGGCUUAAUUUGACUCAACACGGGAAAUCUCACCA
rnacentral:rRNA from 1 species